rnacentral:rRNA from 1 species
GACGAACGCUGGCGGCGUGCUUAACACAUGCAAGUCGAGCGGUAAGGCCCUUUCGGGGGUACGACGAGCGGCGAGCGGGUGAGUAACACGUGGGUGACCUGCCCUCCAGCUCUGGGAGUAAGCCUGGGAAACCGGGUACUAAUACUGGAUAUGACUCCAUGACGCAUGUUGUGGGGUGGAAAGCCUUGUGCGGCUGAGGAUGGGCCCGGCGGCCUAUCAGCUUGUUGGUGGGGUGAUGGCCUACCAAGGCGACGACGGGUAGCCGGCCUGAGAGGGCGACCGGCCACACUGGGACUGAGACACGGCCCAGACUCCUACGGGAGGGCAGCAGUGGGGAAUCUUGCGCAAUGGGCGAAAAGCCUGACGCAGCGACGCCGCGUGAGGGA